rnacentral:rRNA from 1 species
CAGUCGAACGAUGACCAGGAGCUUGCUCUUGGGGAUUAGUGGCGAACGGGUGAGUAACACGUGAGUAACCUGCCCUUGACUCUGGGAUAACCUCCGGAAACGGAAGCUAAUACCGGAUACGACCCGCGGAGGCAUCUCCAGCGGGUGGAAAGAACUUCGGUCAAGGAUGGACUCGCGGCCUAUCAGGUAGUUGGUGAGGUAAAGGCUCACCAAGCCUACGACGGGUAGCCGGCCUGACAAGGUGACCGGCCACUCUGGGACUGAGACACGGCCCAGACUCCUACGGGAGGCAGCAGUGGGGAAUAUUGCACAAUGGGCGAAAGCCUGAUGCAGCAACGCCGCGUGAGGGACGACGGCCUUCGGGUUGUAAACCUCUUUUAGUAGGGAAGAAGCGAAAGUGACGGUACCUGCAAAAAAAGCACCGGCUAACUACGUGCCAGCAGCCGCGGUAAUACGUAGGGUGCGAGCGUUGUCCGGAAUUAUUGGGCGUAAAGAGCUCGUAGGCGGUCUGUCGCGUCUGCUGUGAAAACCCGAGGCUCAACCUCGGGCCUGCAGUGGGUACGGGCAGACUAGAGUGCGGUAGGGGAGAAUGGAAUUCCUGGUGUAGCGGUGGAAUGCGCAGAUAUCACGAGGAACACCGAUGGCGAAGG